rnacentral:rRNA from 1 species
UGUGCUAAGGUAGCAUAAUCACUAGCCUUUUAAUUGAAGGCUUGUAUGAAAGGUAUAACAUUUAAAUUUCUUUUUUAUUUAAGAUUUUCUAAAUUAUAUUAAGCAUAAAAAUAUGUUUAUACAUUUAAUAGACGACAAGACCCUAUUGAACUUUACUGAAGUUAAGCUGGGGCAGCUAUUUAAUUACUAUUUUAAUUUUAUUUUAUUUAAGUUAAGACCCAAUACUAUUUGAUUUUAUGAAUUAAGUUACCAUAGGGAUAACAGCGUAAUUUUUUUUUAAAGCUCUUAUUAAAAAAAAAGAUUGCGACCUCGAUGUUGAAUUACAGUUACAAAUACGCAGUAGUAUAUAAUGUAGGUCUGUUCGACCUUUAAAACUUUACAUGAUUUGAGUUAAAAUCGGCGUAAGCCAGAUUGGUUUCUAUCUUUAAAUAAAAUUUAUUUAGUACGAAAGGACCAAUAAAUUUAUUUUUAAU